CCUGUGAUUAUAGGACUUGUAACAUGGUGGAGAGUUCCAGCUGGCCCUCACUUUGGCCACAAGGUCUUUACUCAGAAAACCACAGCGGCGUUCCCCUGGAGGAGGCCUGUAGCCCCGGCCGAGUGCAGCAGACAUCCCCAACAGUGGCCGUUUCACCAGACCUCACAACGCCCGUCUGCCGUCUCGGC